ACCUAAUAGAUACCCUGGUAGUCCACGCCCUAAACGAUGCGAACUGGAUGUUGGGUACAUUACGGUACUCAGUGUCGAAAGCUAAACGCGUUAAGUUCGCCGCCUGGGGAGUACGGUCGCAAGACUGAAACUCAAAGGAAUUGACGGGGCCCGGCACAAGCGGUGGAGUAUGUGGUUUAAUUCGAUGCAACGCGAAGAACCUUACCUGGCCUUGACAUCUGUCGAAUCCUGCAGAGAUGCGGGAGUGCCGCAAGGAACGACAAGACAGGUGCUGCAUGGCUGUCGUCAGCUCGUGUCGUGAGAUGUUGGGUUUAAGUUCCCGCAACGAGCGCAACCCUUGUCCCUAGUUGCCAGCACAUCAUGGUGGGAACUCUAGGGAGACUGCCGGUGACAAACCGGAGGAAGGUGGGGAUGACGUCAAGUCCUCAU
rnacentral:rRNA from 1 species